GGGGGGGGGGUGUAGCGGUUAGCAUGAGUCGUUGUGUGUGUGUGUGUGUGUGUGUUGGGUUUGGAUUCAAACAACGAUCCGACUCGAUCCAGGUUCGACUCCUGGUGGCGCCA